ensembl:snoRNA
CAAGCCAGGUUGCAAUUACAGUGCCUCAUUUUCUGGAAGUAUUUCCAUUAUCCUGCUGUAACAAAAGCCAUGUUUUUUAUUUUUGCCUUUAUGAGGGUAAACUCAUAACAGCUUGACAUGGACAAUU